UAUGUGAUCGUCUCUCGCAUAUCAAUAAGCGGAGGAAAAGAAACUAACAAGGAUUCCCCUAGUAACGGCGAGUGAAGCGGGAAGAGCUCAAAUUUGAAAUCUUAAAGGGUUUCCCUUUACGAAUUGUAGUUUAAAGAAGUGUUUUCUGUUGAGGUUUUGGUAAAAGUUCUUUGGAAUAGGACAUCAUAGAGGGUGAGAAUCCCGUAUUUGACCUUUACUUUCAACUUUGUGAUACACUUUCAAAGAGUCGGAUUGUUUGGGAAUGCAGUCCAAAAUGGGUGGUAAAUUUCAUCUAAAGCUAAAUAUUGGCGAGAGACCGAUAGCGAACAAGUACCGUGAGGGAAAGAUGAAAAGAACUUUGAAAAGAGAGUUAAACAGUACGUGAAAUUGUCAAAAGGGAAGCGUUUGACACCAGUGUUGUUUUUCUGAAAAUCAAUUAAAGAACUGUUUAUGCUAAGUUGUUUAGACUUUAUCAGCUAACUGUUUAGUUUUGAGCUUUUCUUUAAUGCACUUUUCAGUUAACAAGUCAACAUCAAUUUCUUUUGCUGUAAAAAAGCUUGAGGAAGGUGGCUUGAGAUUCGUCUUAAGUGUUUAUAGCCUCUUGCCUAUGCAGUCGGAGAGAUUGAGGUCUGCAGCGUAGAUCCUUCGGGGCUAAAUGCAUUUGUGCUAAGUUAUAAGCAUUUUAUAGACAACUUGUUGACUAUGAUUUGUCUUGUAGCUUACUCGCUUAUGUUAUUUUACCUACGCUUAGGAUGUUGAGUAGCGACAUACGCAC
rnacentral:rRNA from 1 species